rnacentral:rRNA from 1 species
GGUGGCAAGCGUUGUUCGGACUUACUGGGCGUAAAGGGCGCGUAGGCGGUCCUGUAAGUCCCGCGUGAAAUCCCCCGGCUCAACUGGGGAACUGCGCGGGAGACUGCGGGGCUUGAGUUCGGGAGAGGGAAGCGGAAUUCCGGGUGUGGCGGUGAAAUGCGUAGAUAUCCGGAGGAACACCGGUGGCGAAGGCGGCUUCCUGGACCGACACUGACGCUGAGGCGCGAAAGCUAGGGGAGCAAACGGG